rnacentral:rRNA from 1 species
GACGAACGCUGGCGGCGUGCUUAACACAUGCAAGUCGAGCGGUAAGGCCCCUUCGGGGGUACACGAGCGGCGAACGGGUGAGUAACACGUGAGCAAUCUGCCCAUCACAUCGGGAUAACUCCGGGAAACCGAAGCUAAUACCGAAUACGACCACCUCCGGCAUCGGAUGGUGGUGGAAAGUUCCGGCGGUGAUGGAUGAGCUCGCGGCCUAUCAGCUUGUUGGUGGGGUAACGGCCCACCAAGGCUUCGACGGGUAGCCGGCCUGAGAGGGUGACCGGCCACACUGGGACUGAGACACGGCCCAGGCUCCUACGGGAGGCAGCAGUGGGGAAUUUUGGACAAUGGGCGAAAGCCUGAUCCAGCAACGCCGCGUGAGGGAUGACGGCCUUCGGGUUGUAAACCUCUUUCAGCAGGGACGAAGCGCAAGUGACGGUACCUGCAGAAGAAGCACCGGCCAACUACGUG